rnacentral:sRNA from 2 species
GUGGACUGUUCAGGAAGAAAAAAAAACUAUUCACAUGUCUUUAUGUAUUGUAAAUGGUUCUCGCGGAGAGGAGAGGCUACCAUGAUCAUACUUAGACGAAGUUGAAAAGCAGUUCCGCUUGGCAAAUGGAGUCAUCAAACCCUGCUCCGCUCAGCGGAACACCCUGGGAUGAGGACAUUUACACUGGGAACAACAAUGACAAUGUUGGUAAUCGGGAUGCUUCCAGCAUCUACAAAGGAGGAAUUCCUACGUCUGGCCCUCCAGUGAACAAAUUCCAUAAGUUUUCGCCUCGACCAAGGGGUAUCUCCAACCCGUUACAAACCGGAAUACUCAACUAUCUCAAGAGCCAGCAGCACCACCAGUACAACCACUGUUUGCCCAUACAUUUCCAUCCAAUUUCUCCGCAAUCACCAUCGAUUCCCCUACCUAAAAGAUUUACAGUUUACACACCUCUCCUCCUGCUUCCGUCAAAUACAUUCUCCUUGCCACCCGAAUGGGCGACACUUUACAAUACAUUUUCUAGCGCAGAGCGCCAGGAGCUUUACGCAUGCAUAGUUGCAUCCUUCGCAUCAAUGGGCGUCACGCACAUCGCGAUAAAUGCGCCCAUAUCUCCAACAAUUGCUACUGGCAUUGACAAUCGAAUUCGAAGUCCGACGGGGUUGGCACCUUUGUUUGGGGAUUUUGGAGAGGCCAGUGAUCAUGUAGGGGGAGAAGCAGGGAGAGGGGAGGUAUGCGAAGAUAUAGAAGAAAAAGAAGCUAACCCUUCGGAAACGGCUUUGCAGUCUGCGUUGUGGGUUCGCGCGGUGCAGAAUCGCGGCAUCGUGCAGAUUUGGGCACCAUUUCAUUCUAUGUUCAGUCGUGGGAAUGUUGUGGAGAAGGCGAGGAUUUUGGGGAUUGAGUCUCGGUUUGAGGGGCUUGAUGAUGGUUUUGAUGACAGUGGGAAGCGAAUGUUAGGCCAGCGAAUGGGAGAUAUUGCGGUGGUCGAUAUGUAUGCUGGGAUUGGCUACUUCGUGUUUUCGUACCUGA